rnacentral:rRNA from 1 species
UACAGAGGGUGCGAGCGUUAAUCGGAUUUACUGGGCGUAAAGGGUGCGUAGGCGGAUGUAUGAGUGUGAUGUGAAAGCCCCGGGCUUAACCUGGGAAGCGCAUCGCAAACGAUACGUCUGGAGUAGAUGAGAGGGUGGCGGAAUUUCCGGUGUAGCGGUGAAAUGCGUAGAGAUCGGAAGGAACGUCGAUGGCGAAGGCAGCCACCUGGCAUCAUACUGACGCUGAGGCACGAAAGCGUGGGGAGCAAACAGG